GGGUGGAUUGUUUCCAUAGCUUGUCCAGGGUCAUCUGAGGUGUUGGUUAAUGUUUACUGAGACCCCUGAGGCAAAGUAAUCUGAAGGUGAACUUUUGGCCAGGUCAGUUGAAACGCUGGCUUGGCACCCAGCCUCUGUGAACUGAAAUCUUACAUCUUGUUCCCCACGGUUGAUUCCUUCAGAGCAGAAAAUGAUUCACACUGGCUCAGCAGCUCCAGCAUAGAAGGUCUCUUGUGACUCUACCGCAGCCUGCGUUACAUGUCCACACAGAAAACCAAGUUCAGAGACUUCGCCAUGGAAUCCAUCCUCCAUCUCCCCUUCUUGGUAAACAGAGAACAGGGUGCAAGACCUUGAAAUAGGCUUUGGACAUACAGAGCCAGGAGAAGCUGCAUUUAACAGGAAGGGAAGGAUGUGGAGAGCGUCAAGAAAGACAAGGAGACCUGAAAGCGGAAAAGCAAAUCCGUUCCCAUUGACUGGAGACCAAGCGUCUUAAGAAGAAUUGUGCAGUAAAGAAGAGUAUUAACACUUUCUGAAUUUUUCCAAGGUGCUAAAACUCUGCACACAUUAAUUCAUUUAAUAUUCACAACAACCCCGAAAAGAAAGUGUAACUUCCUUCAUUUCACACAUGAAGAAUCUGAUGCACUGAGCCUUGAGCAGCACGGCCAAGCUUGUAAGGGGGAGAGAGGAUGCUAACUCAGUCGUCUGAUUCUGAAGCUCAUGCCCUUCACUCGCUCCACACCUGUGCCUCCCCAACAGCCACUGUUCAGUUUGGACAGCACCUCUCCUGAGCUUUCCCUUGGCUCCCACAAGCACAUAGUUUUGCUGUUUCUGAGGACAUUCAAGAGCCUGAUCUUCAGCUAGGAAAGCAACACCCAAAAUGCUCUGCGCUGAAAUACAUAUUGCCAGAUGCCUCCUGAAGGUGACUACCCGUGCAGUUCAACAUUCAUUUAAAAGUGUAAGAUCUCUGGAUGGUCUUGAAGCAUCAGUCACAUUUCUUGUAUUCACACCUCUGUGCUACCUUGGAGUAGUAGCAAAUUAAGCCGGAAUUAGCUUUUCACGCUGAAUGAUUUUAUAAAGUUUGCUUCAAACUCCUGCAGCUUGACUACUUUAAGUGCCAAAAAAAAAAAAAAAAAAAAAGCCAAUAUGGUGGAAACGGCAUUUAAAGCAGGUACAUAAAUUUACUCCAAGAUCCUGGACUGUGUGCUUCCACAAUUCGUUUUUUUUAAAAUCGCUUCUUCUAGCUCUCAGUCAAAUAAAAAGAAGACAGUUGGAACAAGAAUUUUAAAAAUGUUACUUCUUUCCAAAAAGAACCAUUAGUGACAAAUGUGUCUUUUAUAUCAAGGAGUAAAUUCAGCCAGGGAAACAAACAAACAAACCAGCAUGUCUUUGAGAAUGGGAAUUGACAUUUGAGAGAGAAUUGACAUUUGGUAAGUUUAAAAAUAGUUACUCCAGUAGAUAGAGCAUCUGCCCACUAAAAAUAUGAACCAACACACAGGCUCGCUGCAGUGUGGGGCUCGGACCAGGUUAUUGGGCUAUUCAAUAAUGCCCUAUUUUUAGGGCAGUGGAGCCAGGAAAAAAAAACACCCUGGCUUCAGUGGCUCAAUUAAACAUGUAAUUCAAGGGCAUAUAGAGCACAUCUCUGAAAUACCUAGAAAUAAGAACUUGGAAUUCAGAACACACUUUUCUGCUGUGGUUACAGGAAGGGAGACCAAGGUGAUCACUGAGUCUAUUCUUGUGAUGGUGGAGAUAUUGAUUGUCAGGACUGGGAGAACCUUAGAGAUGACCUUGUACUGGACAUUUGAUGUUUAUGGGCUGCCCAGAAUCUGAACCUGCCUUUGGAGUAUAGCUGGGAGGCAGAGCCUACUUCCUUCUCUAGAAAGCUGUUUUCCCAGUUCUCCUGGCGGUGAGGGCUCUAAUAAAUGACCCAGCUCAGAAUGUCAGCUGCACCUGCUCAGGUUUUUGAGUCAGGAGUUAAUGACGCAAAGAAGGAGGGAGAGCAGAGAAUUCUUUCCGAGGAUAGAGGCAAAGGCAGUAACAUCCGGCUCCCCAGGGCAAUGUGGCUGAUGGUGCCAACAGGAGUGUCUGGUGCCCAUUCCUAGCACAAGUGCAAGCUGUGACACUCAGUGUGCAAUGGCAUAGUGGCCAGGGUGGCCCUGCUGGAAUCUGGAUCCUGGUGGGGUCUCUGGUCCUGGUUUACCUGUGCAGGUUUCCUUGUUCCUGCUUGAUAUCUCUGGACCUUCAGGCUUCUUGGAAACCCAGUGAGCUGGCCAAUCCCCUUUCAAUCCAUCCAUUUUCUGCUUCAGUUACCCAGAGGCAAUAUUUAUGCUUUGCAACAAAGAACCCUGGCUGCUAUAAUAAUCCAACCCUGUUAUUUUACAGAUUGAAUUAAUAAUAGUAGGUAAAGAACACACAGCUUAUUAGCAUCAAACCUCGACCUAGAAAGCAAGUCUUAUGAGUCUCAAUUUAGUGUGUACAUCUUCAUGUGGUUCAGGCUGACAGGAUGGAUGCUUCCUGUGGACAUGCCCUCCUUGUUCUGUCCUGCCCAGAGGUCACCACUGUCAUUAUCUACCAGCCAAAUUGUCUAUAUCCUUAUGGUCAUAUAUAUCUAAAAAGAACAAAUUUUAAAAAUUGUCUCUAUUUUUCUGAGUCAUUUCAAAAGCCAUUCCACUGGGCCCUAUCUGAUAGGCCCUGUCAUUGUAACCUAUCAGGCUACAAAGUAUCUUUAGUUUUCCCUCUUUAAAAAAAAAAAAUGUUAUCAAGUGCCUACUAUGUGUCUAGCUCUACUUAGGGAUUCUAUAGCAAGGUGCCGCAGUCUGGCUGGGCACAAUCAGGAGCCACUUGUCAAAAGAAACUAACUUUAUUUUUAGAACCACACACGCCAAACAAAACAGCCUCUCAGGAAAAACCUUCAGAGCCUCAACUGCCACCACCGGCUUUCCACAAGCCUCUCUCUCCCACACAAGCUUCUCUCCACCUCCCACAAUCCUCCUGCUCUUGAGGCCGAUUGGCUGGGUCACGUGGGCGGAGCCAAAAAAGUCCCCCAAUGAGCAGCUCCGUGGUCUGAAAGGGCAGGGAAACAGCCCAAUGAGCAUCACCGCAGAGGAGCCAAUCAGCUAGAUGUUGCUGGGGCCGAGGAGCCAAUCAGCUAGAUGUUGCUGGGGCCGCUGUGAGCCAAUCAUCAGCCAGCAGCUGGAAGUUUGCUGGCAGCUGGAAGUUUGCUGGGGCCCCUUUGGCUGUGGCUCUCAACAGCAAGGAAAACAGAAAUGGAUUCAGGCAUCAUGAGUAUUACCAUAAAGAAGAAAAGACAGAUAUUAAUCUAAUAAACAUAAAAUUAUAAACUGAAAACAACUAAGAAAGGAGAAUAUAGACAGUUAUGACAGCAUCCUAUGGGGCCUUUUCUAAGUUAAGAAAGAAUCUCUGAAAGUUUCUCAAAAGGCUAGGCAUGGAAUCACCAAAUGAUCCUUCUAUACUACCCCUUGGUGUUUAUCAUAAAGAAUUAAAGUCAUCAUACUAUGGUGAUACAUGCAUACCCACGUUUGUGGCAGCACCAAUUCACAAUAACCAAACCAUGGGUACAGCCUCUGUGUCCAUCAAUGAAUGAAUGGAUAAAGAAAAUGUGGCAUAUAUACACAUGGAGUUUAUUUAGCCAAAAAUAAAAAUGAAAUAAUGUCAUUUGCAGGAAAAUGAAUGGAACUAGAGACCAUGUAAGUGAAAUAAGUCAAACUCAGAAGAUUAAAGGUUAUAUGUUUUCUCUCCUAUGCAGAAGCUAGACAAGAAGAAGGAAAAGAAAGUUAGGGGGAGACCUCAUGAAAAUCAAGGGGAGAUCAGUAAAGGAAAGGGACCAAUCACUGAGAGUUGGGGAGGGAAAGGGGAAGUGCUGAGGAGUGAUAUUAGCCAAAUCAUAUUGUUAUGUUGUACGCAUAUAUGAAUAUGUAACAACAAAUCCCAUCAUUAUGUACUAUAAUUUACCAAUAAAAAAUGUGAAUAAAAUAGACACUAGUAUUGCUGUAUGUAUAUACGUGGCCGUAUAACCAAUGUGAUUCUGCAACCUGUACACUUGGAAAAAUGAGAAUUCAUACCCCAUUUGAUUCAAAUGUAUGACAUGUCAAGAUCAUUGUAUUGUCAUGAGCAACUAAUCAAAAAAAUGUGAAAAUAAGACUCCCUGAGGAUGUAGUAUUUGAACUGAGAUCCAAAAGUCAGUUAAU